rnacentral:lncRNA from 10 species
UAUUAUUCUGCUAUUAUAUAUAUACAUUCUGCCAUAUAUAUGUGUUUGUGUGUACACACUACAUUUUCUUUAGCCAAUAUAAUGGAAUAGCAUUCUGCCAUAAAAAAGAAUGAAAUCAUGUCUUUUGCAGCCACAUGGUUGGAACUGGAGGCCAUUGUCUUAAGUAUAAAAAUCCAGAAACGGAAAGUCGAAUACCACAUGUUCUCACUUGUAAGUGAGAGCUAAAUAAUGUGUACACAUCAAUAUAGAGUGUGGAAUAAUAGACACUGAGGACUCUGAAGGGUAGGAGACUGGGAGGGGGGUAAGGAAUGAAAAAUUACUUAAUGGGUACAAUGUACAUUAUUUGGGUGGCCAUUACACUAAAAGCCCAGGCUUUACUGCUGCUGCCGCUGUGAAGUACCAUACAUGCUAAAUCACAACAUACUCAAUCUAAAUCUCAGCAUAUUAUGAACGAUUUUUCCUUUUUUUUCAAAGGGAGAUAAUCAUAAAUAUUAUUUCUAGAAUUCCCCUACCCUACACUGUCACAAACACACAAAGACUAGUGUCUGUUCCUUUAUUCCUUAUCUCCAGGAUAAGAUGGUCAGAAACAAAACUUUUGGAAAUCUAAACUCACACACAGAGGAAGAAACGUCAGGAUAAUAAAACAAACAAGCAAUAAGUGUAGGUCAAGGUAACUGAGUUCUAGCGGCAGAAGCCAAGGUAAGAAGUAAGCACAUCAAAUAAUUUGUUUGCCUCUUGGUGCUCUCUGCACCAAGUAUGGUUCAACAAAUACUCAUUAAAUACGAAUGAUAUGCCAGCUAUGUUGAAAAUUACAAAGCUAAAUGUUCACUUCCUCAAGGAGUUUAUAAACUGAUGUUCUUCACCUUGGUACCUUGUUAAAAUUGCCAAGGCCUCUGCCUCUCGUCCGCUUUAUCCCAGGGUGACAACAAGCUAAUGUGAUAACAUGCUAAUGCAUGGAGUUUUCUGUGCCAUCUUGUGUUUUUACUUGCUGUGUAAUAGGAGCCUGAAUAAAUUGCGCUAAUGUCCUAAUUCCAAGUUGAUGGCAGGGUUAUCGGCAGGCUUGCUUAAAAAAAAAAAAAAAAAAAAAAAAGGACAUUUUUGAGCAAAUGGAUAGCUUUCAAAUCCUGACUUCACUGCUUAUAUGCCAGGCAGACUUUGAGUUGCAAAGUAGGAUGACCCAGGCUUGGGGAAGUCAUAGGACUUAGCUUUUUUGAUCAGUCUGCAAAAGCACAAUUUCAGACACUGUUCAGAUCUAUAGAUGUUAAGUUCUUCUGGGUAAUUUAUGAAUUCCUGAGAACUCAAAUGCUGAAUUGUGCUAUCCUAGAAACUGACAGAAGUGACUCUUAAGCAGUAGUGUUGAAUCACAAGUCAGAAUUAUAAUGCUAAUGGAGAGAACCAGUCAGUAAGUCCCCAGUUUAUGGGAGCUUUAUUACUUCAAUCAACAAUUGUUCUUUUCAUUUUCAAGAAACAGCAAGAAGCAAACAAUAAGAUGCAAUGGAGAGGGGGUAGAUUGCAGACUGCAAAAUAAGUGGAAAACACUUGAACGUGCCAAAGAUGAGAGUAGGAAGAAAUAGAUCCUGGACUUUGUGAUGCUAAUCUGAGUCAGAAAUUAUAGUGUAUGAUUUCCCACUGCCUGAAAUGAAACACCCUUUCUAAAACCCAGGACAUAUGCCUUUUGAUAAAAUGCAUUCUGAGAUCUUUUAAGGGAAGUCACUGACAUCUGCAUUAUCAUCUGCAGAGCAACCUGUGGGGGGACUUUGAGACAUUUGUGAGGGGAGUGCGGAUAGACCAUUUCCUGAAAUAUUGGAAAUAAAGUGUAAAAAGAGAAAGAUUUAGUAAAUGACCAACUCAUAAAGGGAAUUGUAAGACUGGGAUUUCAUGGGGAAAUUUUGCAUGGUGAAUUUUGCACACAUCUGAAAGUUUUUGGUUUUGUUUUGAAUGGAUUCCUUCUCAGAUGUAGUUGAGGUGGACCUAGGAAUCUGGAUUUUUUUUUUUUUUGAGAUGGAGUUUAGCUCUUGUUGCCCAGGCUGGAGAGCAAUGGCACAAUCUCGGCUCACAGUAGCCUCUGCCUCCUGGGUUCAAGCGAUUCUCCUGCCUCAGCCUCCCGAGUAGCUGGGAUUACAGGCAUGCGCCACCAUGUCCAUCUAAUUUUGUAUUUUUAGUAGAGAUGGGGUUUCUCCAUGUUGGUCAGGCUGGUCUCGAACUCCCAACCUCAGGUGAUCCACCCGCCUUGGCCUCCCAAAGUGCUGGGAUUACAGGGGUGAGCCACCGCGCCCAGUCGGAAUCUGGAUUUUUAACAAGCUUCCCCAGAGAGACAGGUGCAGGUGAUUUGGGCCACAUUCUGAGACUUAAGAGUUGUGAUGUCUUUAUUGAUGAUGUCAGCACUGCCGACAAUCACAUGACUUGUGUAGAAGUUUUUUAAGCUCCAUACUUUUCUCUUUAUCAAUAGACAAUACAAUCUAGACAAAGAUAGCUCUGCUUUUCCCAACUACUUUCUGUUAGAUUGAAAUUUUAUAUUAGCCCCCCUCCAGCUUAAAAAUUAAAACAAAUUGGAAUUUGACAAUUACCUAGAAUAUGGCUGUAAUAAAAUGGAUGUGAACAUAGAUGAUGACUUGGGAAUAAUAAAAUUUUAGAGCUUAAUUUAGUCACUUCAAGAAAGAUAUCAAUGUCAUUUUUCAAUUUGAGUCCCACUUUUGGUUCAGCCCAAGGUUUCUGUGAGUGCUCAUGAAUUUUUUCUUACAUUUGAAUAGUCCCUGUAUCCUUUCAGUUCUGAGAAGACAUCGGAAAUGCUUUAAACAAAAUAAGAAAUAGAAGUCCAAGGAAUAACUGACUUUUCCAUACAAUCCUCUGCAUUCUUUGAAAUGACAAAGACUCUAAAUUUGAAUCCUUUGCUUUAAAAUGCCCUCACUGGAAGACCAUUGUUUCUGAAGAUUAGAAGUUGGAAAAGCAAAGAUUUUUGACAGUUUUCACACUGAUUACCUUCAGGGUAAAAAUAAUGAUAUGAGCUGAGUAAAAAAAAAAUGUAAUUUGCAUGGAAUUUUAAAACUAAGUUUUCUAUGAGCACUCAAAAUAUUGUUCUUUUCCCAAUGAGAAACCACUUUAUCUUGAAAUGAGGAGAGUAGUUUAAUGAAGGCAAGAUAUUAAUGAAAUAAUGGGAGGAGAACGUAUUAAUAAGACCCCUGGCCCAGUGGAUAUGCAAAGGUGUCAGUCAGACAGGUGGUAAAGGUGACGUCGCUAACAGGGUCAUUGCCAUUCAAAGCCUGGGGAAACAGUCAUGGAAGGUCAACAAUUGAAUCCAUGUAGAAUAAAAAUGAGCAAGACUAAGUGGUGCCUGAGAACUAAGUCAUGCAAUAAGGGAAACAAAAAUUAAGCUACUAAAUGACAAAGAUUUUGUAAAAAGUAUGCACAAAUUCUGUCUGCUCUGUCUUCUGCUGCUUAGGUUCCAUAUUCAUAGUUCUAGAAGGUAAUUCAGAGCUUCUAUGCAGUGAGACUUAAAAAUUAACUUCCUUCUCCAGACAAAUUCAUGUAGGUAGACAAAGGGCAAGUUUCCUUGGAUUUGUUCCAAACUCUUACCUUAGAAGCCAUCAUCUCUCAUAGGGACUUCCUUCCAAGCACAAAUGUUUGGAUUUUUUUUCUUAGGAUUCUUAGGCUUCCUUCAAUGACAAGGAUCUCUAUGUCUGACAUUCCAGCUCUUCCCAUAUUUUUAAAACUUAACCCAACGUAAUAGGCAUUCCUGAAGACAUAAAUGCCACAGUACUUAUGAGAAUAUGAAUAGGUGGAUGUGGUUUCUAGACGCAGAUUUCCUCACUGGAGGAUAUCCACAACCCUAUUGAGUAAAGAGGAAGGAGAAGACUCAGAAGGACAAAAACACUCUUCAAAUGUUAGAAAGUAUCCAAUAGGAAAUGAGUAUUGAAUUCAUUCUGGGUAGUCCUAAUGGGUCAUACCAACCCAUGAAACUUACACAUAGUUUUGUCUCAAUACAAGGGAAAAUUUUCUGAAAGUUAGGACAUUUUAGAGUCACCAUGAAUCUCAUUGGGAAAGAGUGUUUAACCCAGGCAGGAUGGUUAUUUAUUGGUAUGUUUUAGCAAAAAGAAGCACUGGAUGAGAAAUUGGAAAAAAUGACUCAUUUCUGUUUUCUUCAACUCUAGGAUUAUAUAUGAUACUAUGAUUCUAAUAGACAACAAAUAGUCUGAUCACUCAGACUAUUGAAUUUAUAGAUAAUUAAACCUUUAUUACUUUCUCCCAGCCUCUUCCUGUUCUCAUUAGUUUUAAAAAAUGAAAAGAACUUCAAUCAUUAUUUUUUGACUUUAUAGUAUUAUACAGUAUGGCAUUUUAUGGAUAAACAUUGAGAUAGCCUCAAAAUUUCUAUAACAUUAUUAUUAUUAUUAUUAUUGCAUUGGGUUAUCAUGUAGGCUCCUUGGAUGUUCAAAGGGAAUCAUAGUCAUGGUGUUGGGGUGAAACACCAUAUCCUUAAGGCUGUUUCUAUAUGGAGGAUUAUUAGUUAACUCUUGUAUCUUCAUGAUAUGUUCUUAAGAUAUUCACUUAAUUAGAAAAUAGGACAAUAUCCAAAGCUGUGAGGUUGUUUACAAUAAUGGGCUCUUUAGAGAAUUAGAGAGUGUGAAAGAUAAAUGAAAAUUAAAUUAGAAAUAAGGCUCAUUUUGUCAGAGGUGAUCGAACCAGAGCAACUCCAUCUUGAGUAGGGGCUGAUGAAAAUGAAGCUGAGAUUUGCUGGGCUACAUUCCCAGGGGGCUAGGCAUUUUUAGUCACAGGAUGAGACAGGAAGUCAGCAUUACUGGUUUCACAAGAUGCAGGUCACAAAAUCCCCGUUGAUAAAAUGAGAUGUGGUAAAGAAGUCAGCCAAAACCCACCAAAACCAAAGUGGCAAUUAAAGCGACCACUGGUAGUCCUCACUGCUCAUAAUGUGCUAAUUAUAAUGCAUUAGAAUGCAAAAAAAACACUCCCAUCAGUGCCAUGACAGUUUACAAAGGGCAUGGCAUCAUCUGGAAGUUACCUUAAGUAAUCUUAAAUGGAGAGGAACCUUCAGUUCUAGGAAAUCCCCAUCCCUUUCCUGGAAAACUCAUGAAUAAUCUACCCCUCGUGUAGCAUAUAAUCAAGAGGCAACCAUGAGUAUACUGUGGAGUAGCCACUCUUUUGUUUCUUUGGUUCUCUAAUAAACUUGCUUUCACUUUGCUCUGUGGACUGACCCCAGAUUCUUUCUUGCAUGAGCUCCAAGAACCAACUCUUAGGGUCUGGAUCGGGACCCCUUUGUGGUAACAAUUUCCGUUAAUAGUAAUAAUCUUCAACCCAUAUUAAUCAGUCAACAGAUAAUAUAUACUACGUAGAACAUGUUGCACUAUACAUCACCAGGAGUAUAAAGUUGUAUGUGACGUGGAUGUAGUGUUGGGAAACUUGAAAUUACUUUGAAAAAGACAUGUAGCAUAAUAAAGCAGAGGAUGUGAAGUGGGAAAUGAGUGAAUGACCACUGAGGUUUAGUCAUUAGCAAAUGGAAAAGGAAAAAGUUUUGUUUUUUAAUGAAAGAAAUACUCACAUGAUUUCUAAAAACCCAAAUAAUACAGAAGGACUUACAAACGAAGCAAAAGACAUUUGAAGCACCCCAAGAUCCACUCUCCAGAGUCAGUUGCUUUUAAUAAUCACUUCUGCUUUCUUUCCUUAUUUAUUUUUUUUUUUUUUGAGACAGGGUCUAGCUCUGUCACCCAGCCUGGAGUGCAAUGGCACAACCUUGGCUCACUGCAACCUCUGCCUCCCAGAUUCAAGCAAUUCUCCUGCCUCAGCCUCAUGAGGAGGUGGGACUACAGGCAUGUGCCACCACGCCUAAUUUUUUGUAUUUUUAGUAGAGAUGGGGUUUUGCCAUAUUGGCCAGGCUGGUCUUCAACUCCUGGCCUAAAGAGAUCCACCCGCCUCGGCCUCCCAGAGUGCUAAGAUUACAGGCGUGAGCCACCGCGCCUGGUCUGCUUCUUUUUUCCUAGUGAUAAUUGUACAUCCUGCUUACACACACAUACAGAUGAUUGAUUUAUUAACUUCGGAAUUUUAAAAUUACUUCCUGCUAUAUAGAUAAUGACAAAGCUCACUUAAAAUACCAUAUCUAACAGUUGGUUAAAUAACAAGUUCAGAGUUUUUAUAUUGAAGUGCUUUAUAUUGAAAAGUGAAUGAGAUACCCUAUUUAUUGAUGUCUAUCAUUCCAUAUAUACAUGGUAUGUGGCCUGUUUCCCAAAAUCUCCUUUUCAGUAAAGCAAUACUGAUGAACAUGACAUGUAAUUUCUUCAUUCUUGCAUUUAUUUAUUCAUUUACUCAAUAAAUCUUUAUUCAAUACCUAGGUACUAUGCUAGGCAUUGGGAAUAGUAGUCCUGAUCAAUAUAGUCCCUCACGGAGCCUAUUUUUGUUCUGAGCUGAAAGCCUCUUUAUUUUUUUUAUCUGUAGUCUGCCCAGUGAGACGGGUGUUGAACAGUUAAUUAUAAUUGUGCUGUGUGCUAUGAAGAAGCAUAGGCAAAUCUGCAAAUGUGUCUUCAGGUACACUAGAAGGGCACCUCCAGUUACUCUGAAGAUUAGGGUACUUAUAGAUGACUCAACCCUUUAUCACUUUCUCUCAACAUCUUACUGCUUUCACUGGUUUUAAGAAAUGAGAAUUUCAAUCAUUAUUUUAAUUUUGACUUUAUAUUAUACUAUAUUUAACCCGCCUUAGAAAAUGGCAUUUAGACUUAGACUUGAAGGAUGAAGAGGAGUUAGAUGAGGAGUUGUAAGCAUGAGAUGGGAAGAGUAUCCCAGACAAGGAGCCAUCAUAAAGUAAGAACUAGCAUGGUGCAUUGGAAGAUCAGAAAUUGACCCCCGCAUCUUAACGGAACUUUACAAUCAGAGCUACGUUUACUUCAUUCUUCAAGUGUUCUUCACAACUCUUCAAUUCUUCAGUUAUUUCUUAAAAAUAGGACUUGCAAGUUAAAGGAAAUCAUGCCAUCUUUCCACUUAGAAAGGAAAAGAGGUGGUAGAUAAAUGAUGUUAAAUGAUACAUGUCAGAUAUCCCUCUCAGCACUUACAGAUACUAUGGGUACAUGACCUAACUCUCCUUUUGUGGGCAGACAAACCAUUUGUACCCACUUACACAAUGGUUUACUAUUUUAUUGUGGAUUACUUCAAAUAUCUAAUGAAAAUCAUCUGACUUGGGGGCCAAAACAAAGCUGGCCUAAGAGCGUGUGUUGGAGCAGAAUAAUAAUGUGCUGUUCAGAAUUCAGUCAAAGCUUCCUCAUGUCCUUCUGCACAUCACAUGCAGGAUACAGGAACUGGGAGAGAGCUGAGUAAGCAUGAAAAGAUCACUUUUAAAGUCUCCAUUACCGCCUCUCCCUCCAGCCCCAAGCACUGUAGAAGCACAGACGAGAGAGGAGAGUUAUGGAUUGAGCGUGAGUACCAAUACAACACUUUUAAGUGUUAUUUCUCCCUUGAAGCAUCAGCGAAUCUAAGAACUGAGGAAGGGAGAGAGUGCAGGUGUAUAACCCUCCACUUGUUCACUCUCCAAAAACCCUUUACAGUGUCUUCUCCUCCCUCCUCCCUUCUGAUUUCAUAUUUAAUAUUUGGCAAGGUAGAAAGAAGACAAAAUGCCUUCAGCUCAGGAUAAAAAUAAACUAGUUCAUGUCUGCCUACUUUCAUUUUGGGGGGAAAUUGCGGCAUUCAUAUUAGAUUGAGGACCCACAUGGAGGAAGAUGAACACCAAAGUGCUGGGGACAGUAGGAGGGGUGAUGUUUAUGGGCAAAAUGGGGUCAUGUGAUUAUAAGGUCCAUGGAUAUCACUUAAAAAUAGCAACCCAUGAUAUAGGUUUCUGCUUAAAAUACUGAAUUUCCCUAUAUUGCUUCACUGACUGCACACAUCAAUCCAUGAUGAUUUAAUGUUAGUCAAUGGUUAAUUGUAUUUACUCAGGCAAAUUUCUUAAAUUCUAUCUAAUAUUAAUGCAAUAGAGUGGAAGACAGUUUAUUCAUAAUGUCUGGAAAAUGAUUGAUCUUUCUGUUAAUGAUAUUUCUGGAGUUUAGUAAUCAUAACUCUAAAGCAACACUGUCCAAUACUAUAAUGUAAACCACAUAUAUAAUUUAAAAUUUUUGUAGCCAUGUUAAAAAAGUAAAAAUAAAUAGAUGAAAUUAAUUUUAAGAGCAUGUUUUAUCUCACUUAAUAUAGCCAAACUGUUAUCAUUUCAGCAUAUAAUCAAUGUGAAAAAUUAUUGAGACAUUUUACAUUUCUCCAUACUGUCUUCAAAAUCUAAUCUGUAUAUUACACUUAGAACAAAUAGCAAACUGAAUGCUAAUGUUCAUCAUAACUACUUAAACUGUUUUUAGAUUUCAUAAAAGAUACAGUUGAAAAAGUAGAUUCAUAUGGAGAAAGUAAAAAGACCAAAGAUUGGGGGAACAGAGGGAUGAAUAGGCAAAGCCCAGAGGAUUUUAGGGCAGAGAAAUGAUUCUAUGUAUUUAACUAUACCAUGAUACUGUAAUGGUGAAUAUGUGUCAUUAUACAUUUGUCCAAACCCAUAGAAUGUUCAACAGCAAGAAUGAACAUUAAUGUAAACCAUGAACUUUGAUUGAUAUGUCAGUGUAGGCUCAUCAGUUGUAACAAAUGUACCAUUCCACCACAGGGGAGUGGAGGCAGAGGGUGAAUUCUUGUACUUUCUACUCAAUUUUGCUGUGAACCUAAAAACUGUUCUAAAAUAUAAGGUCUAUUAAAAAAUUAAAUUAUGAACUGACCAGUGAAUUUUCUCCUCAAACUUCCAUUGUAACAUUAUAACUUCUGAGAAACUUAAUAAUGUUUGAUAAUGCAGCAUAUGGUCUAGAGUUUG